AGCGUAAUAGCUCACUAGUCGAGGAAAAAAGCACUGACAAUGUAUCGGGGCUCAACUUAUUUACCGAAGCAAUGUAGAAAGAGGUAGCGAAGCGUUUUGUAAACCGAUGAAGAUGUCUUGUGAAAGAUAUUGGAGGAUUCAAAAGUGAAUAUACUGACAUGAGUAACGAAAAAAUCAUGUGAAAAUCAUGAUCGCCGUAAGUUCAAGGGUUUCUGCGGUCCGCUUCUCGGCGCAGAGUGAAUCGGCUUCUAAAUUUCAUGUGAAA
rnacentral:rRNA from 1 species